rnacentral:misc_RNA from 1 species
GAUGAAGAACGUAGUGAAAUGCGAUACUUGGUGUGAAUUGCAGAAUCCCGUGAACCAUCGAGUCUUUGAACGCAAGUUGCGCCCGAAGCCACUAGGCCGAGGGCACGCCUGCCUGGGCGUCACACGCCGUUGCCCCCCCAUCUACUCCUUCGGGAUUGCGGGGGGGCGGAUGAUGGCCUCCCGAGCGCCUAGCCGCGCGGUUGGCAUAAAUACCAAGUCCUCGGCGACGCACGCCACGACAAUCGGUGGUUGCGAAACCUCGGUUGCCCGUCGUGUGCGUUCGUCGCGCAUCGAGGGCUCGAAAAAAUGCUCGGCUCCGGCUGGGCUUUCAACGCGACCCCAGGUCAGGCGGGGUUACCCGCUGAAUUUACGCAUAUCAAUAAGCGGAGGA